CCUUACUGAGGGAUCAACCCACACAUAGUUCUUCAAUCAAUAAUCACGAACCAAAUAACAAUACCAACAAUUAAAUUUAGAUUCAUUUACAACCUCAAAUUCGACAAGGUGCACACUGAACACUUUAUGAGUUCCUUUCAUUUUAUCAGUUCUUUCUCACAACCAUACCCUAUCCAAGGCGUACGUUGCCGAACAACACUUUCCAGACUAUAAAUCAAAUGUUCAUACUUGUGCAGAUACUCACGAAGCACAAGUUCAAGAAUCUCAAACCGAAAACGAAUCCAAAUAAAUAUAUAUAUAUAUAUAAUAUGUAUGUAUGUAUAUACACACCUCACAGUUGAUUAGACCACAUGGAGGAAUCCUCAACAACCAUGUGGCCAGGGACAAGCUUUCCAACCGAGGAAUUGGGCUCCCAGCAUGCACAUCAGAAUCCUCAAUACUCGUGCAUCUGUGACAAGUUUUACGAGGCAGACUACCCCUCUAAGGGUCUACGAAACACCCUGCCAAGGGUGCUCGGGUUUCGAUAUAUCCAAGUAUCCAUAUUCGAGUAUCUAUAUCCAAGUAUCCAAGUACCGGGGAUGGGAAACAAUCCAACCAGGGAUUGUUAGGCUGAAUCACACGAAGAAAUCCUCAACGACCAUGUGGCCAGGGACGAGCUAUCCAACUUGGGGACUUGGCUCUCAGCACGCACAGCAGAAUCCUCAAUACUCGUGCAUCUGUGACAAGUCCUAUAUGCACAGACUACCCCUUUGAGGGUUCAUGAAACACCCCGUCAAGGGUGCCCGGGUUCCAAUCGUAUCCAAACCAUAACCAUAGUUUCCAAGUAUCCAUUAUCCAUCAUUUC
rnacentral:lncRNA from 1 species